rnacentral:rRNA from 1 species
CCUACUGGAGGCUGCAGUCGUGAAUCAUUCACAAUGGGGGAAACCCUGAUGGUGCGACGCCGCGUGGGGGCAUGAAGGUCUUCGGAUUGUACACCCCUGUCCUGUGGGAGCAAAUUAAAAAGAUAGUACCACAAGAGGAAGAGACGGCUAACUCUGUGCCAGCAGCCGCGGUAAUACAGAGGUCUCAAGCGUUGUUCGGAAUCACUGGGCGUACAGCGUGCGUAGGCUGUUUCGUAAGUCGUGUGUGAAAGGCGCGGGCUCAACCCGCGGACGGCACAUGAUACUGCGAGACUAGAGUAAUGGAGGGGGAACCGGAAUUCUCGGUGUAGCAGUGAAAUGCGUAGAUAUCGAGAGGAACACUCGUGGCGAAGGCGGGUUCCUGGACAUUAACUGACGCUGAGGCACGAAGGCCAGGGGAGCGAAAGGGAUUAGAGACCCCAGUAGUC